GAGAGAGUUUCAUUGGACAGCGGUGGGCUUUCCUUCUUUCCUUUGGCUCUUCAGUUUACUGAAGUGUUGGACUUCUGCUGUGAUCGUUCUGUGGAUGUUUGUUUUAUCUGAAGCAGAGACAAGAGGAACUUUAGAUGCUGGGGGAGUUAUCUAUAUAUUUAUUCUAUUGGACCAGAACGCUCAGAGAGGCAGAAAGACCACAGACUCAGCCAAGGACCUCUCUCCUCUAUCAGGGCCGCCAUUAAGAGGA